GAAUCAUUAAGGCCUACUGGGAGAAAGUUAGGUGCUUGGGUACAUGCCUUGGAAGGGAUUUCUCUCUCGUUUCUUCCUGGCUGUCAUGACGACCUCACAGUCUGCUCUGGAGCCUGAUCCAUUCCACAUCCUGCUCCCACCUGUCAGUCUGUCCACCCUGGCUACUGUCUCUGAGAUGCUGCCUCUGAACCACCCGCUGGCCUCUUCAGCUUUGGCCUCA